AACAUAUGCAGGGCUAAGUACAAAAGUACUUAGUGGGCAGUUGCAAAAAACUAAAAUAUAAGCUUAACAUUUUAUUAACAAACCACAACAUUAUAUAAGAGACACGAGCCUUCUUUCAAAUCCUUUGUUUACUAAACAUUUCCAAAACCAUAAAUAGCGUGAGUGCAUUCUUCAUCAUCGAAAGUCUUAUUAAUAAGCAUCGUGUCGUGAGGAAGGCCUUCCUCAACGAACACAGGCAUCGCGCCGCAAGGGAGGCCUCCCUCAGCGGACACGGCAUCGUACUGUUGGGGGAGGCCUCCCCCAACAGACGCUAGCAUCGUACCGUUGAGGGAGGCCUCCCUCAACGAACGCUUGACCGGCCAACCCUCUCAUUGACUCACGGUCGCGUUGUGAAUUUAAAUCCCGGCGGAAUAGCUAUCCGCUCAGAAUUCAAACUCGUUAGCAUCGUCACAUUUCAAUAAAAAGCAUAAAGCCUUCAAGCGUAACAAAGCACAAAUCACAUAGGCGUAACAAAGCGUAAAGACUAAAGCGUAAAAUAUUUAGGUGUAAACAUCAUAGCGUAAAUUACUUAGGCGUAACAAGCGUAAACAACAAAGCGUAAAGCAUUUAAGUAAAACAAAGCAUAACUCGAUUAAGCGUAAUAAACGUUACUCAAUUAAGCUUAAUAAAGCGUAAUUUAUUUAAAAAUCUAAUUUAAAAUUUUAAAGCAUAAAAAUUUUAAUAGUUCUAAAAUAGCAUUUUAUUUUACGCGUAAUAAAUGCCCACAUGAUAGCAAGGAUUUGCUAAGGCGUUGUGAUUCCUUGAAUAGCUCUCACUCUCGCGCUUGUCCUUUAUUACGAGAAUAUAAAAUAAGAUAUUGACUCGAGGGAAAUUCUCAAUUAACGAGAAUGUAUGUGUAAUUUAACUAUGCGUGACUCUUAUUCAAAUAAUUAUUAUUCAGGAAUAACAAUCCAAGAAUUUCUAUCUUUCAUCCAGACUUAUAGGAUUUAGGGCUCGUCAAUAAUAUUGGAUUAAUAACUUUAAUAAUCUUCUUAGUUUAGGGUAUUCUAACCCACUUGCUAAUUAAAUAAGUCUCGUUCUAAAAUAAUCCAUAACUAAAACAUCCAAGUCCAAAUAAUCACUCAAUUAAUCUGAAACUACCUUUUAAUCGGGUUUAAAUAAAAUAGAGGAAUAAUAACAGCCCAAUUAUUCAAGAAAGUUCGCACUAUUAAGCCCAUCUGAAAUAUGUGAGGAAAAUCAGGCCCAACCUGAAGUCUAAAAUAAUUACUGCCCCCAACAGCUUUAAUAAUCGGCCCAUUGAAGAAAAAUAAUUCAGCCCAUCCCUUAAUAAAAUCUGGCCCAAAAUACUUAACUCCAACCCAAAGGUUUGGCCCAAACCCCCAUCCUCAAAGUCAAAACUCACGGCUGUAUACCAGUCUUCUUUCUCUCUCUCUCUCUUGCAGUGGUGUCGGCCGCUGUGGCUGAAUCCGGCGAGCCGCGCUUCCUUCUCCUCGUCUAUUCAUCUCUCUUCCUUCACCCUUUUCAAUUUCUCACCCCAAGUUACACGCUCAAUUUCAAAGAUUGAGCUCUAGCUCCUUCCUUCAAAUCGCCGCCGAGUCUCCCCUUUUGCAGCAGAUCCGCCGCCGCGGUUCCCUUUCCGGCGAAAUCGGCAUCAAGUCGUUGGAGUACCGGCGAGGCCGCAGCCGGCAACUGGCGCUGCUCCCUUCGUCUCUGACUUCCUCUUUUUUUUUUUCCUCCCUUGCCUCUCUAUCUCUGAUCGUGCUCUCUCCUCUCAAUUUGCACGACCUCAGCCGUGCAUCCUCCUCAACAGGCUCUGCCAUGGCCGAGUCCGGUGAGGUUGGCGUCGGCGUCAGCCCUUGCCCAAAACUCUCUCAUCUUCCGUGUUUCUUCUCUGAAAUUUCAACUCUAGAUUAUACCCCCAAAUCGAACCCUAAUUCUUUCAUCAUGGACUACCACCGCUGCUGUCCUCUUCGGUGUAGACGGGCUCGAUGCCUCAUCGCGCCGCUGUUGUUAUAGUCAGAUUCCAGCGAGGCAGCAAGGGAUCACCGCCGUCAUUCCCUCGGCUCGACUGAACAGGCUGAACUCAAGAAGAAAAUGGAGAAGUUUAAGUUGAGCUUACCUCUUGGGGUCCAGAUUGCAGCUGAAAUAAACUCUCUAUGAUUUUUGGUGCAUAAAGGAAGAAGGGAGAAUCGUAGCUGGUGAUUUAAAGGGGGGAGUUUUUGGCUGAUUAGGUGGACUUCCAUGUGAGACUUUGAAAAUUGGAGUAUGCAUAAUGCGGCUAAUAGACCUCCUCGUUGUACCUUAGCAUGACUUCAAAUAUUAAAUUGUGGCUUUUGCAGGGAAAAGAGCAUGGCCUUAGCAGAGUAGAAAAGGAGCUGAUAUGCGUGUACUAUGCAUAUUUUAUUUCUUGAUUUUGUAUACUAUGUUGAUAGUGUAGGAGACCCUAGGGAGUGGAAAGAAAAAUGAUGAUUGUAAAGUAAAUAGAAUUGAGGUGACUAAUAAAAAAAUCAUCUGGCUUGAUUAAUAUUAAUUAAUCAAGUAUUUGUAAAACUAA